ACGAACGCUGGCGGCGUGCCUAAUACAUGCAAGUCGAACGCUUCUUUUCCCACCGGAGCUUGCUCCACCGGGAAAAGAGGAGUGGCGAACGGGUGAGUAACACGUGGGUAACCUGCCCAUCAGAAGGGGAUAACACUUGGAAACAGGUGCUAAUACCGUAUAACAAUCGAAACCGCAUGGUUUCGUUUGAAAGGCGCUUUACGGUGCCGCUGAUGGAUGGACCCGCGGUGCAUUAGCUAGUUGGUGAGGUAACGGCUCACCAAGGCCACGAUGCAUAGCCGACCUGAGAGGGUGAUCGGCCACAUUGGGACUGAGACACGGCCCAAACUCCUACGGGAGGCAGCAGUAGGGAAUCUUCGGCAAUGGACGAAAGUCUGACCGAGCAACGCCGCGUGAGUGAAGAAGGUUUUCGGAUCGUAAAACUCUGUUGUUAGAGAAGAACAUGGGUGAGAGUAACUGUUCACCCCUUGACGGUAUCUAACCAGAAAGCCACGGCUAACUACGUGCCAGCAGCCGCGGUAAU
rnacentral:rRNA from 1 species